AUCUGGUCCCCUAGGGGAGUGUCCACCAGGUGGGAGACCUGCAUAAAAGCUGGGCAGGUAGCCCUCAUUAAACAGACCACUGCUUGACCCUCAACACGGAGCCUUGUCUCGUCUUUGCGGGGAUUUACUGUAUGCUGCUAAGGACUGAUUGCCAGGAGUGUAAGCCGCUUGGAAGCUUUUCCUGUUCGCCUGCUAGCAGCUAUUCGUAUGGUUCCUGUUCGUUUAUUUGAAG